CCGUGCUGGAAAUGCUUUGGUUAUGUAGAGGAAUCAUGUGCUUACCCAGCAUUUGUGAGACUAUGAGGCUGGGAAAUUAAUGAGCAGCUGAAGUCACUGUAUUUCUCUGUUCUUGUCAAAACACGGUUGGUUGAAAGAGAUUGAAAUACGUGUCUGUUCUGGGAAGGGGGAGGUAUUUCCAGUUACAUCCUGCUGUCUCAGCUCUGAGAUGACCAGGUAGGGCACAGAGAGGUGACCAUCAGUCUGCCUCACAGCGAUACGGUCCCACUGCUCGUGCUUCGUUGGCAUUUGGACUGCAGGUACACAUGCCACGCUCACUGCCGAGACCUGGUGCACCUGGGCUGCUGGCGGAAUGGGAAAUUAAUGGCCUGCCUCACUGCACAUGGCACCUUAGACGGAUCUGACAACGGUCAGAUCCAUUUACCUUCUGUCAUCCACUGAGGUCCAUCCACACUUAACCUCUGGACAUUCACAUCUCACCAGCAGAAACUUCUGAGAGGGCACCAACAUUUCUCCAUGUCCUUGCUAAGCUUUCUGAGAGUGCUGCAGGACAGCGCAGAAUUUUCUCUGCAAGAGCAGCACGUUUGUUAAACAAAUUUUAAAAAUGUAAAACAAAUUGUUAAAGGUGCUUGCUCCAGCUGCCCAAACCGCAGCUGCGGACACAAUGCGUCCCGUGUGCUCCUCAUGACUUGCUUUUGGGAAGAGUGAAGGGGCAUAAAUCAGGUGCUGAGAGGAGUAGCAGGGGUGAGGAAAGGGAAAGGCAUGGCAGCAUGAGUUUUGGAACUGUGGGUGAAUGUCAGCAUGAAAUACCACGGGAACAGAAAGGGAAGACUGUGAAAAG
rnacentral:lncRNA from 1 species